rnacentral:rRNA from 1 species
CGAACGCUGGCGGCGUGCUUAACACAUGCAAGUCGACCGGAAAGGCCCUGCUUUUGUGGGGUGCUCGAGUGGCGAACGGGUGAGUAACACGUGAGUAACCUGCCCUUGACUUUGGGAUAACUUCAGGAAACUGGGGCUAAUACCGGAUAGGAGCUCCUGCUGCAUGGUGGGGGUUGGAAAGUUUCGGCGGUUGGGGAUGGACUCGCGGCUUAUCAGCUUGUUGGUGGGGUAGUGGCUUACCAAGGCUUUGACGGGUAGCCGGCCUGAGAGGGUGACCGGCCACAUUGGGACUGAGAUACGGCCCAGACUCCUACGGGAGGCAGCAGUGGGGAAUAUUGCACAAUGGGCGGGAGCCUGAUGCAGCAACGCCGCGUGCGGGAUGACGGCCUUCGGGUUGUAAACCGCUUUCGCCUGUGACGAAGCGUGAGUGACGGUAAUGGGUAAAGAAGCACCGGCUAACUACGUG